rnacentral:misc_RNA from 1 species
AAAUUCGUGCACAAGCCUAGGUUUAUUGCCGCAUACAUUUGAAGGUUUCAAUGUCUAAUACAGGUAAAUCCCUAAAUUCAACAAAUUCUCACGCAAAAACAAAUUUAAUAUUAUUUCCCGCGAUACAUUCAACAUUUUCCAAAGCCAAAUUAAAAACCUAAACAAUGCAGUGAUUUAGGGAGAAGGAAUUAAAAGAAAGAAGGCAAGAAUGGUAAAUAGAUAGAAACCUUAAGGUCGAUGUUAGAGCGUU